GCCAAUUGGAUUUCCUAAUCGGCUGAACGAACUUUCUUCAAGUUUCACAGAAAAUAAAAUAAACUCGACAGGGAACGAUUAAUAUUUUGGUGUCGUUGAUCGACUUGUGCGAAUACUGAAAAAUGCCACAGGCAGCUCACGAAACGAAAAACAUCUUAACCACGUACUUCAUACUUAUCCUCCUGCUGAUCUGUCUCUGGUUAUUAUACUCGGGAUUGUUCUAACUUGCGUCAACAUACCUCGGUAACGGAAUGAAGUAAGAAGCAGGAAGGGAACGCGCGCUCGUCGACAAGCAGCUAUCCUCGAGCGGUCGACGAAUACUCAGGACUCUCUAGAUGCCACAGUUCUUCCUUUGUCUAAUUAUUAACAAUCUUUCUCCUCUUUACCUCCAUGCGAUUUUCAUAUAAAACCGCAAAAAAUGAACGAAACAAACGUAAUCCGUCUAAGUUCUUACAACGUGCUCCACGAAUUUCACGUUCGUUUAUAGUUUCCUCUACGAUUUCGUACAUUUGAUUGCCACGAUGAUCAGACAUCAAAGGGAUAGUUCUAUUUUUAAUAAAAGGAACAACCAAAAUAAUGCGGUUCGUACAGUGGGAUGAUCAAAGAGACUCGUAUCCUCUUUAUAAAUUUCUAACGUCGUACGGACGCGCCAAUCUCCGUUUACUUUACACAGUAAUUUAUUUAUAUAAUUCUCUACUAACGUCUUACAGGCUUGUAGAUGGCGGCUGUUUCGUUAAAUAAAAUUCUUUAUUUAUGGAAAAUUGCGUACCGCGGGCAUUGUAAAUCCCACACGAUCACAAGUGUUCCGAAGGCCGUUGAUACUAAAAGUCAAGAAAAAUACGAGCA